rnacentral:lncRNA from 1 species
CCAUUCAGCCCUGCUCAUGCCAUUGCUAUAAAAAUGAUCUUAAAGACUUGUGACUGUUUAAAUCAAUACAGCAUAAUCAGUAGAAAGCCCAGCUGGGCACACUUCAAAAUUAGCAGUCUUCUCGGCUGUAUGAGUCAACACUAGCCAAAGGAAGAAAAGGAGAACAGGAGAACUUUCUUCUUAACCAUCCCCUUAUUUGAAUUAACCAAAUCGGUUUUACUUAAAACAAAACAAAAAAAAAACUGAGAGAGCUGGUCUAAUCCUUUGAAAAAAAUGUGCCAGUGCAAUGUAGAUGCUUUUCAGGGAAGACCAUCCUGAGGCCUUUGUGGGACCCCAAAACCUACUGUGAUGCACUCUGGCAGGCUGUGGAUACUAUAGCAUUCUCCAUUGGCAUCAGACGUUUAUCCAGGCUGAGAAGCCAAAGCCCUGGGCACAAUUUAAUUUUCACGUUACCACUCUCUGUUGUCCAGCAGUAGGCAAAGGCAAUGAGUAAUGAAAGUUUUGAAGUCUACUCCAGCACCUUCAAUUUCCUGCCCUUAUUUGCUUUACUUUAUAAAUUUAUUCUGUACCUGCUUUAUAGAUCUUGCUCUGGUUUUCCUU